AUUUGUCCAAACAUUUUCCUGUUGUGGUUGUUGAAGCCAAGGAUUUGUCAAAUGAUAGGCAAAAUGAAAUAUAUAAUACUCGAAGGGAUAUGUGCUUAUUAAGGACAAUGAUUCUAUCCUUGAUGGCUUGUGGUUUCACGUACUUCAAAGAUAAGGGCAAAAGUAAAAAAGGAACACAAAAUCUUGAAGGACACAGAAUUCACAGACUUUUUAGAUCUCGGUCUAAUUUUCACAUUUUCCGAAUGGAAAUUUAACUUGAAAAUAGGAAUCUCCGAGGGCUAUUUAGUUUGAAAGAAUCUCCUUAAAGCUGAAAAUUCGUUCAGAGGUAUUUGAAAAAAAAAAAAAUUACCACACAUUCUUGACGUCGUUGGAUAAUAGCUUAUACUUUCGACAGUACACGCCAAUACUCCAGCUAACAUGCCGAGAACACCGGAAAGAGUUACAGUAGGAAUACCCCAUUGACCAGGAUAUGGAAAGCGGAUCCAUG